GGCAUGCCGACUAAGGGACCCCGCAAGGGACUGGGAGAUACAGUGUUUCUCUGGAGGUAGAGAGAGACUGGGGAGGUACAGUAUGUGUUUCUCUGGAGGUAGAGAGAGACUGGGGAGGUACAGUAUGUGUUUCUCUGGAGGUAGAGAGAGACUGGGGAGGUACAGUAUGUGUUUCUCUGGAGGUAGAGAGAGACUGGGGAGAUACAGUAUGUGUUUCUCUGGAGGUAGAGAGGGACUGGGGAGGUACAGUAUGUGUUUCUCUGGAGGUAGAGAGAGACUGGGGAGAUACAGUAUGUGUUUCUCUGGAGGUAGAGAGAGGGACUGGGGAGAUACAGUGUUUCUCUGGAGGUAGAGAGGGACUGGGGAACUGGUAAACAGACUCAGAUAGGAUCUCAUGUGACUCAGAGUUAAAGUAACAUUUUGUUCUGUUAAAAAAAACAUUACUUUGCUUUCUGAGGUUAAUGCAACAAUCUCAUCAAACCAAAAUAAAUUGCAGUAUGUUUGGAGCAAAACGAUGAAAGUAAAACCCAUUAAAGAUAAUUAGUAGACUAAAGAGAGAGAGAGUGUUUUGAAUAGUAUACCCAGAAAUUGUAUCUGCGGAAUUCAAUUCGGAGCUCAGCUAGGGUUGAUGAAAUCUCUCUCUGUGAACUAGUCUUCCUUUUCAGAAGACCUCUAUGUGCUCAACACGAAAACACCUGAUACACAGACAGGCAUUAACUUACAUACCCUGGCUACUCACAAGUAGUGCACUAUGUGGGGGGAAAGGGGGAAAUUUGGGACGCACACCUAAAGUCAGACAGACACGCCUUUCAGCCCUGUGUCUAUGAAGGGAAAACAAUGUGUCUGGUUGUUAGGUAGAAAUAAAUGUCUGUUUCCAUUGGAGAGCUGAGUUGUUUCUGUUCAGGUAGAACACUUCCUUCUAUUGGAGAGCUGAGUUGAUUCUGUUCAGGUAGAACACUUCCUGCCAUUGGAGAGCUGAGUUGAUUCUGUUCAGGUAGAACACUUCCUUCUAUUGGAGAGCUGAGUUGAUUCUGUUCAGGUAGAACACUUCCUUCUAUUGGAGAGCUGAGUUGAUUCUGUUCAGGUAGAACACUUCCUUCUAUUGGAGAGCUGAGUUGAUUCUGUUCAGGUAGAACACUUCCUUCUAUUGGAGAGCUGAGUUGAUUCUGUUCAGGUAGAACACUUCCUUCUAUUGGAGAGCUGAGUUGAUUCUGUUCAGGUAGAACACUUCCUUCUAUUGGAGAGCUGAGUUGAUUCUGUUCAGGUAGAACACUUCCUUCUAUUGGAGAGCUGAGUUGAUUCUGUUCAGGUAGAACACUUCCUUCUAUUGGAGAGCUGAGUUGAUUCUGUUCAGGUAGAACACUUCCUUCUAUUGGAGAGCUGAGUUGAUUCUGUUCAGGUAGAACACUUCCUGCCAUUGGAGAGCUGAGUUGAUUCUGUUCAGUUAGAACACUU